GAACAUUCUUACACAAGAAUUUUUUGUGAACUUAGGUUUUCAUAUCUCAUGGAUAAAUACCCUAGGAAUAGAAUUUCUUUGUCUUAGAAUAGAUGUACAUUUAACUUUUAAGAAAGUGCCAGUUUUCUAACGUGUUUAUACCAUUUUACAUUCCUACUCAGCAAUGUCUGAGAGUUCCAGUUCCUCCCCAUUGUCACUAACAUUUGGUGUUCAGUCUUAUUUUAGCUAGUCUGCAUGGUCUCUUGAUAGUGCUCUUGACCGAGCUGCCCUUCUCACUAUUCCUGAGUGACUAGAAAGAUAAGUGUUUCUGUAGAGGCAGAUAUGGCCCUUUGGGUCCCAGGCUUGGGAAUGCUUUGGGAGACGGUGGUAGGGAUCAGGUAGAUAGUUCUCUUUAUCCUGAGUGCAAACCCUGCCACUUUUCCCCCUUCGAGCACUGCGUUUGCUCCUUGGUGGUUGGAAUCUACCUCCCCCUCUUGUCGUUCAACCUCAUGAUUCACACAGAGGCUUCAAGAACCUUGGAACCGUGCUUCCCCUUGGACCAUUUUAAGCACUAGUAGAGAAGAGAAAUUCUUCCUCUGUUUGCAAGUUUGCAUUUCAUCUUUGUAUCAGGCUCCCUCUGUUGUGUGUUCAAGAGGGAGAAUUUCAAGGACCCAUCAAGCAGAGAGACCUGGCACAGGAACUGGACCCAGAAAUGACCUUGUUACCUGGUGUGUGCUCAUGUGUGAGACAAAGCAAGUAGCGCUGAUUACUUCUUGGAACUGACCUUCCAUUUUCCUGCCGGUUCCCAGGGCCAAAAUCUGGUGAGAGGAAGUUUUCUUAAUGUUCAGAUAUCAGUUAGUCUUGAAUAUGGUAAGAUUGGGGCACACUCUUCACCGUGGCAAUUUCAUGCUCUGAUCUUCAGAGAAACUGGAUUCACUCCCUCACUCGGAAAGUCAGCAGAAAGCUCAUGCUGUGACGAGCACUGGGUGAUAUCUGGAAGUGUCCAAUCACUGUCCACCCGAAACGAAUAUGACACUGUAUCUUAACUAACUGGAAUUUAAGUAAAAACCGAAGAGAAAAGCGAAGGCCUAACUAGGACUGUGUUGCAGAAGGCUGCGUGUUGCUGCCACAAAACACGUUCGCGACUGUUCGGCUACGUAAUUUGUGCUGAAAUUGUGCAUUCGCCAAUAGCUGGUGCAGGAGCGCUGUCUUUUGAGCACCUUUACCACUUUUUCAGGUUCCCGGACUGAGUUCUCACGGGUUUGGGCCAGCCAGCCACACGCUGCCUCAUCAUCGGGGCUGUUGGCAGCGCCGUCAUUAACCUCUGCUGGGUAGAGGUUGGCGCGCACCCUCCUUAUUGAAGACCUGGGGGAAGAGAGGAGCCAGGCUGCCGGCAUCAGAGGGGAAGCAUCUGGGGCACAUUUGAAAUGAAGGACCAGCAGAGCCAGCUGGAAAGGGGAACGUUCUCUGCAGGGGAAGCAAGAGGAGUUAGGUGCUUUCAGCCCGCCUCGGACCACCCCACGGCUCAUCAGAGCCCCCACCGCAGCCCGCGCUGGGCUGGGAAGGCUGCCAGUGCCCUGCGAACCCCGUUCUGAUGAGAGCCUGGGUGCAGAGAGGAGCAGCGCCCGAGGAAUCUCGAGGUCCUGCACUUAGCCCGUCUCCUCUCUGUCCUUCCUCCUCACCACACGGACCGCACGGCCGGUGCCCUCGCACUGAGAGGGACACUGGAAGGGGGCCAAGAACCACAGUGGCCAGAGAGAGCGAAACCCUGCAUGGACUGUCACUUCGCCCGCCUGCACAGGCCGGGGGGGCGGUGCUCUGGCCGCCCUCUGGGGCUGGGGUUCCCCCUGGUUACCUCGCUGUCACUUCUGUGUGGAAAGGGCCCCCCGCAGAAAUCGUGCUCUUCCCGCGCUGAGCCUGAUGUUGUCGUUUGCAAAACUCCUCCACCAGCGCCGGCCUGCGUAGAUGGUGGAAGUGGUCAGGGGAGUCGUGGCAGGAAGAAAGCGAGAGCUCUGAACCCCUGGUUGGGCUGCACGAAAACCAGAUCCCAAGAGACCCUCUCCCUUUGUAGUUAAGAGCACGCACAUAUGCACAAACAAAACGAAACAACAGUCGUGAUAAAAAAAAAAAAAAAAACCCUCUAAGGAGAUGGAAUUCAGGCCUUUCCUUCCCAAGAGGUGGUUGAAUUAAUUGAAAUCGGUUCGGUCUCUGAGGAAGGGUAGCAGCCUGUUGUGUCUUGUUCUGACACUCUUGAUUAUAAGUGCAGCGAUGAAGGAAUUACCGACUGUAUGUUGCCCGCGCAGCUAGCACACUGUGAGUCCCUAACUUAGGAAGAUCAGCCGUUCUUGCUCCGGUCCAUCCGGAUCUGGGAGACAGACUGGGGCCCGGGGGUCUGGAAGGUCUGGCUCCUCCCGAGUCUCAGAAACUCCAGAUUUGGGAGGAUUAGGCUAUCUGCUGUGGAAAUGCUUAAUUCCUUUUCUCUGGACAUUUCUGGAAGGCUUUCUGCUUUUUUAAUCUCCCGACUUCUUGUUUGUGACCAAGUUCAAAUUCCAGAGAGGGAAGCGGCCAAUAUGUGUGAUUAUUUCCUCUUGUACCAAGUGGAACUAAAAGAAUGAACUUACUUCACUAGAAAUAAAUGUACCCUUUGGACCUUAAACCCAAAUGAGUAAGCUCAGUUGGUCUGGCCCCUGUGCUGUUCGUGCAGUAAUUAAACACCAAAUGAAAAAAAGAUGGCACGCAUUCACAAUCUUUUUUUGGACAUAAGGCAGAAAAGAAUAGAAUAAUGUUAAAAAAAAAAAAAAAGAUUCUUUUUGUCCUACACUCCGCCUUGGGCAGGGAUGGCUGCCGGGUGAUGAGGAAAGAUUGUAGGGUUUGGAGUGACUCGGGGGUGUACGUUCCGGCUUCCCAGUUCAAGAGGUGUGCAAUCCUAGACACAUCCCUUAACUUCUCUGAGCACCAGUUAAAUGGGGAUACUGGAACACCAGAGAGUUAUUACAAGGACUGAAAGAUGUCGUACAUAGAGCUUUUAGCGUAGGGCCCUGUGCAGGGCAGACUCUCGCUAACUGGGCAUUAUGGAUCAUCACACUAUUAUUUUAAGACGAUGCUGCUAACACAGAAACCCUGGGGAUGGCAGAGGGAAUUCGGUGCCGGGCAGCUCAGUGCUCAGAUGGCUGUGCUGAAGACCCUCGCCUGUGUUUCCCGGGGCCGCUGGGGACGGGGCGUGUGGGGACCCAUUGUCUCACCGUUGCUGUGCCUCUCAGGUGAUCUCGUCAGCGUCCCGGACUUUCCGUUCCUGUAUUUCUACAGAUUCCAUGGCAGCUGCUGUGCCAGUGGAUUGUUAGGAUUCUUUCUCAUGCUCAGCACAGUGAAGCUGAAAAGCCUUAUGGCCCCAGGGCAGUGUGCAGCCUGGAUUUUCUUUGCUAAGGUA